AGGGCGGGGCUUUGUCGGGGGGCGGGGCAAUGGUGGCUGCGCGUGUGUUGCCGGAAGCGGCCGAAGGCAGCGAUGGCAGAGCCGCAGCGUGAGAGGCAGCCCGGGUGCGGCACAAGGAGCACGGACUCGGCCCCUGGCCUGCCGGGGACAUCCCCCCCCCGCUGGGACAGCAGCCCCUGCAGCUCCCCUCGCCGGGGUAGCGCCCCCUGGGCCAGGCCUAAGCCCCCCCUCCCAGGGCCGCUCCCCCCGUGGCGCCCCCUGCCAUGGCAUCACCACCUGUGCCAGGCCCAAGCCCCCCUGCCAAGGCCGCUCCCCCCACUCCGUCUGAAACAAUAUCCCCCAAGCCAGCUGAGGAAACGCCCGUGCUGCUGGAUGACGUGCGAUACCAGAUCGCAUGCACCAACUGGUACUAGAGCUGUCCAGCGCCACGGCAUCUGGAGGGCAAGUCCCAGACCCCGGUGUGCCAGGCACCCAGGGAUACAGAUGGGCUCCAUGUCGUCCCCAGGAGCACCUGUGUCACUAUCCCCCUUGAAGAUGACAUCCUGCAUACUGCUGCAUCUGAUGCUUUGAAUAAAGAGCCAGGGUCAAA